UAAACAACUUUAGACAACGGAUCUCUUGGCUCUCGCAACGAUGAAGAACGCAGCGAAAUGCGAUACGUAAUGUGAAUUGCAGCUCUUGUGAAUCAUCAAAUCUUUGAACGCACAUUGCACCUCCUGGUAUUCCGGGAGGUAUGCCUGUUUGAGAACCUUGACGUCCUUCACCCCCCCACAUUUUUAUGAGAAUGUGGAGUCGGUGGAUCUGGAUCGUUUGCUCUUUCACGAGCAAUGAUCUGAAAUCAAUCAUCGGUUCAGUCAGAGCUAUGCUUUGCGCCAAAACCUAGACGUGAUACUAUGGGUCUCGACUCAUUUCAUCGUCGACUGUUUAGCGCUGUGGCAAGAGUUCAUCUUCUUUAAACGGAGGCGACUGUGACGAUCCACCUGUUUUCUGUCAGGCAGCCUUUAGGCUGUAGACCUGAACACCUGGUCUCAAAUCAGACAAGACUACCCGCUGAACUUAA
rnacentral:rRNA from 1 species